GUGGCCUUUCUUCUGGAUCUCCUACUUCCCACGGUCGAAAGCUCCAAUUCGAUGAAAAAAACAUCCAGCAGUACGAAGCCAUUAUCGGUUUCUUGAAAUCUCAUGGAUUCGAGAAUUCACAGAUCGCCAAGUUGGUCUCGAAGCAACCUUCCAUCCUUCAAUCCAAAGUAUCCACCAAUCUGAAGCCUAAAUUUGAGUUCCUCCAGGAAGUCGGUUUCGUCGGUCCUUUACUUCCUAAGGUAAUUCUAACAAGCCCUGCGAUUCUUCUCAGGAGCUUAGAUUCUCAGUUGAAACCAUCAUUUCGUUUCAUGAAGGAAAUGCUUGAACCGGAUGAAAAGGUAACUACUGCUAUUUGUCGUUAUUCAAGGCUUCUGACUUGUAAUAUUAAGGGUAAUUUUAAAUCUAUCGUUGAUGUUUUGGUCAGUGAAGGAGUACCUUCUAAGAAUAUAGCCAAAAUGAUUGCAUAUAAGCCUACAACUAUUAUGCAUAAGGUUGACAGAACGAUUCAUGCAGUGAAAACGGUUAAAGAAUUAGGCAUUGAACCAGAAGCUCGCAUGUUUGUUUAUGCAGUUUUAGUGAGGCUUUCAAUGAGUGAUUCAACUUGGAAGAAGAAAAUAAAUGUUAUGAAGAGUUUAGGAUGGUCUGAGAAGGAGAUUUUUACCGCAUUUAAGAAAUAUCCACUUUAUUUAACUUGUUCAGAGGAGAAAUUGAGGGAUGUUGCAGAUUUCUGUUUCAACACUGCAAAGUUGGAUCCAGGAAGUGUAAUUAUUUACCCGAAGUUCUUCAAAUGUUCAGUCAACGAGCGGCUCCAACCGCGGUACAAAGUUCUUGAGGCUUUGAAGGUGAAAAAUCUUCUUAAGAGCAAAAAGAUUGCGUGGUUGCUUGUAGAAGGGGAGAGAAUUUUUUUGGAGAACUAUGUUCUUAAGUAUUUGGAUGAAAUCCCAAAUCUUAUGGACAUAUACCGGGGCAAUGUCGUAGCCGAAACCAAAUCUGCUCCAUAGGAUUGGAAAAUUGUAAGUUAAAAUCUUCUCAAAGUCUAAAUUUCAGCAUAAUGAUCUUCAAAUGAGAGAGCAUCUUUCUUGUUAUUGAGUCUACUGUUUCAAACAACACUGCUUCUUGAGCUUUUCAAGAUCUCUCCCUUUUUUCAAGUGGGAGAAAUCUGUUGUCUUCCCUCCCAAUUCGAGGUAUUGCCUAAAUAUUUUGCUAUAUAUUUCUUGGACCUGUUAAUUGCUUGGUUGUGUAUGAUUAAUGUUGAAAUGGGAGACCUUUUGUUUUUCCCUUCCUCAUCUUUUUCUUGAACUUUUUAAGCUUUGUAGACACAACCGUUUAGUAUCGAUAACAGGAUGAUUACUAGGACGAGGGACUAAUUCCUAUACAUUACUUGCAUUGCAAUUUAACCAUAAAUCACCCAAUUCAGCCUCUUUAAAAGAUUUUGGUUGAAUUUUAGAUACAAAAGCAAUGCUAUUCAAUGCAUUUAAAGAAGAGCAAGUUCUUAUCCCUUGUGAUACAUCACCUAUUAUUAGUUCUUGAGGAUGAUGAGUAGAGAGAAUGCCAAUGUCAGUUUUGGGUUCAAACUUUUCAAGUUUUCCUUUGUCUUACAGAAUGAAACAAUUGCAACCAAACACCUUUGAAAGAGUUGAAAUGAUGUUGAAAUGGGGAUGCUUUUUUUUUUUUUCAUUCCAAUUGUGAGAUGAGACAUGAGAGUUGUAGAUAAAGCUUAUGCUUUGUGUUUGUAAGGUAGAGGAGAAUUGAAUGAAAUAUUGUAGUUGAAGGAAGGGAUGUAUUAUUUGCUAUUCCAAAUAACAAUCUUAUUGUUUUGCCAAUUUGAAUAGCAGAGUUAAAGUUCCAAUUCUUUUUUAUUCCUACUUUUAUGUAAGAAAAGAUCGAACAACCUUUAACUUUUAUUCCUUAACAAUGCAUUUAGUACAAAAACAUAAUGAUACAACACACAACCAAAAGAUAAAAAUCAACCCUUAAAUUUAAACAUCUUGCAGCUUCUCGCUUAGCAAACCCAAACUUCCUCUUUUCUUUGGUCUUUAACACUUAAGCCCUGAAAGAUAAAUUUUAAGCAAUAAGUCUAAAGACUUAGUGAGGUUUUAUGAAAUCAUUUUUGCAAUACAUUUUUAUGUACAUCAAUAACAUCAAAAUAUUUCAUUUCGGAUAAACAUUUAUUUAUGCUUUACAAUCAAAUCGCAUAAACAAACAUUAGUCAAAUACUCUUUUCGCCAAUGAUCCUGAAUCGUUCUUUAGGCUUGGUCUCAUUAUCUCAUGUUUGACUAUUGUAUCAAUAGCAUCCGAGAACAUAUAGAUAUAUCCUUGUUGUUCAAGCCGCUAAGCUUUAUACGAUGCUUUCAACGCAUAAGCUCGCUUUUUUCAUCAUGUGGUUCAUACACCCCACACUCCAUGAUGAUCUUGACUCUUUAUGUGCACAUAAAAAUUAACAUCAAAUCAUACUUUAUCAAAUCAAGCUUCCACCAUUAUAAAUCACGCUUGAAACACAUAAACUUUUCAUAUAAAUCAUUUUCGAAAUUCUUUUGUCUUUGAAAUCGUUCUUCAAAACAGUAAAGUGAAAUCACAUAAACCAUUCAAGAAAAUCACUCACAGAUCGCAUAUCAAAUCCUUGGUCGAUAAAUUUGCCCGAUUUCUUAUUGUCCUCAAAAUUUCAGCGAAAGAUUCAAUCGAAUGUGUCUUGUAACCUCCUUGGAGUAAAGACUCUUCACUUUUUACACGAGAAUGAUAUUCCUCUCUUCUUUUAACUCAAACUUAACUUUUCCUUGUUCAAAUUAAACAAGCAGCCCUAAUAUAGAAAAUAGACUCAAAAUUUGAAACUUUUAAAACUAAUUUUACUCAAAAUGCUAGAGUGAAUUGUGAGCAACUCAAUAUCGAAGUUGGCCUAUUUAUAGAGUUCCUUGCAUGAGUACAAAUUGACACCUCAUCCUUGCUUAAAUCCAUCUUAAACCUUCUUCUUAAGGCACCUUCGGCUUAUUUUACACCUUAAAAUGCAUGCUAACAAGGUUUUUACACCUCACUAAAACUUUAAGCUGCUUGCCCUUAUCAUAACAUAAUUGUCCAAAACGCAUAGCUAACUUCCAAGGCCAUCACGCCUAACGUCUAUGACACUUAUUUCUCGUCUUAAACUCUUUGGAGAAUAUAAGAUACCUAAAUUCCGGGUCUUACAUUGCAAUUAUUAAACUUAAAACAACAAUAAAAGCCCUUUGAUGUACCCUUUAUGUAAUCACACAAGUAGUUUUUUAAAAAAACAACUAAUUAAAAAAUAAAAUUAAAAGUGAGACCUAUGGACUCAAAUAUUUUUGCUUUCAUGGCCAUUGGAUCACAAAAAAAAAAAAAAAAGGUUGAUAUAUCCCUCUCAAACUAGUCUAAUUUCGUCGUAAAAUUACAGUAGAAGUGAAGAAUGAAAACGGAUCAAAAGCAUUUCCAAUUUCUAUAGCAGUUUUUCUUUAAAGAAUACCAAUCGAAUUCAAAAGGCUCAACGACGAAUAUUAUAUUAAUUCAUGGCAAUCUUGUUGCUUCUUGUCGUCUUAAAGGUACGCAUUUCAAUCCACUAUAUUUAUCCUCUUUUUGUAAGUCGUAUUGGUGAUGAUGUCGAUAUAACUGUAAAAUAUCAAAAUCGAAUGUCAUAUUCAAAGUAAAGACUAUGCGUGUAAAAGCAAUCAACAUUCACUAUGAAACAAGGUUUGAAAGGUACAAACUCUUAUUUAUAUCAAAUUUUAAAUUGGGUAUAUUCCAAACUUUUAUGCCACAAAUUAAAUUAUGAAUGAUUUGAAUUUGUAUCAAAUUAAAAUUUGGUUAUAUUCCAAACUUCCCCCUCAAAUUUAAAUCAUAUCAAGUUUGAUACGUCAAAUUGAGUCAAAAAUUUUAAUUUAUAUUUUGAGAUCCAUCUCUUCAUAAAUCGAAUAAAAGAAGGAAAAAAAUUUAAAUCGAUAACAAAUUGUCACGACGUUAAUUUUGAAAAAUAUAAUUUAGUACCAAAUAAAAAUUGAACUUAGAAUAAUUAAAAAGUUGUUAUUCAUUUGGUCAAAUUAAAAAUAUAUAUAUAUAUCUAUAAAAUUUGUCACUCACAUUAAAAGAGCUAAAAUAUAUAAACAAUGUUAUGAGAUUAUAUUUCCAAAAUUUACAUAAUAUAAUAAACUCUAUAUUUUAUUUGUUCAAUUUUCAAUACACAUAUUUUUAUAUUAUAUUAAUGGAAACGCCCAAUUUUGUGCCGUUCGAAUUCAAAACCCUAAACCAAAACCCUCAUUCAAUCCAAUCCCGAAAUGUUCAAAAUUUCCUCCACAUUUCUUCUUCAUUUCAUCCAUAAACGUUCUCUCAAUACCGUUUCUACUUCUACAUUGCCUUUACCCUCCGUUUCUACCAUCCAAUUCCUCACUAAUUCAUGUGGCCUUUCUUCUGGAUCUCCUACUUCCAAAGGUCGAAAGCUCCAAUUCGAUGGAAAAAGCAUCCAGAAGUACGAAGCCAUUAUCGGUUUCUUGAAAUCACAUGGAUUCGAGAAUUCACAGAUCGCCAAGUUGGUCUCGAAGCAACCUUCGAUCCUUCAAUCCAAAGUAUCCAAUAAUCUGAAGCCUAAAUUUGAGUUCCUCCAGGAAGUCGGUUUCGUCGGUCCUUUACUUCCUAAGCUAAUUCUAUCGAACCCUGGGAUUCUUAUCAGGAGCUUAGAUUCUCAGUUGAAACC
rnacentral:lncRNA from 1 species